CUAGUGGCUCCGACGGUUAUUUCUCGCGGUCCCGGUCCUGAGCUGUGGUGGAAGUCCUAGCGCCGGCGGGUAGCUAUUGCACCUAGCAGGACGGUUGGCUGUCGGAGAGGCUUUGACUGUUCCGGCACCGGGAGACUUAAAGUCUCUACGUUUGCCAGUUUCAUAAAUGAACCAACAAGUUCUUCCACAGGUCCUUUGAUUCUGCUGGAGUGGAUCCACCCUCUUUCAUUGGUUUGGAUCGCAGCUUCAUGUGUCAGUAGUACCUGAAAAGGACCUUCCCAUUGUGGAGCAGUGUCAUGGGUUAGCUUCACCUUUAAGACCGAGUGAAAAAAAGAGGAAGUUGAAGCUACUGGUGACUGAUGGGAGUUUUUCUUCCUGACCAAUUAUCAGCCAUUUCCAAGAAUUGACAGCAAAUCUGACCAUUAAAAAGUGAAUUCAACUUGUAAACACCCCCUUAAGAAGUAUACUCGGAGCUUUCUCGUUCUCUUUCUGGUUUCCAGCGUUUGAGAGGUAACAAGCUCUGUGUUAGUUUCCCUCCCCCCCCCCAGGCCCGGGACAAGGCCGCAGGGAUGGGGGGGGGGGGAGGAGAGAAAAGCCGAGCUUAACACUUUUGUUUAGUUUUCAAGGUCUGCUGUUGGACUGAAACUUGACACUAUGAACUUUUGCAGCUUUCUUAAAACUUUUAAUUCUUUUACUACCUGAAUAAACAAACAGAUGACUCCUUUUUCUUAAAAAAGACAGAGAGAGACAAUUAACAUGUAAGACAUCAUAAAACCACCAAAAACAGUGAAGAAAAGAGUUAAGUUUAAAUAAGAAAGAGAGAAAAGGAGAUGCUUGUUGCUGAAAAGUCUUUCUGUUACAGCUAUGGAGAUGAACAGUAGUUUAAAGACUCCUUUAAUUCAUGACUAGAGUAUGGGAGGAAUAGAGUAUUCAAAGUGUGAACUUUAGAGAAAAGUGGUUGUGAUAACUGUGAGUUGCUGGAACUUAGGAGUGAAGUGAAGAUUUUGAAGCUUUAAAAGAGCCAGAGAGAUGGCUGUUUUCCAGGAGGGCUCACAGAGAGAAAUGAAGAGGAUUUCUACCUUUGAAUUACUUAUCCUUAAAAAUGGCAUCCCAGGACUUAAAAUGACCCAUGCACACCUCGGAAGAGUGUACACUGGGAGGAGUAAACUCUAGAAACUCCAUGGAUUAGCAGAAAGAGACUUCUGUUUCUCUGCGGAGACUGAUGAAAAGACUCUAAAAAUUGAGACUGUUUUUGACCACCAAGAUUCUAAAUUUUUUUGUCUCUAUGUUGUUAUGUGUACAAAGAAAUGAUCAAGUAGUGAAAAGUAAAAGGGUUCUCUGAAAGUUUAUUUUGGUAUUCUUAUUCUAGUAGUUUGUUAAUAAACUGUCUUUAUUCCUUUUAAGUUUUAAGCCUGUUUUGCUCUUAUUUUAAUCCAUAU